rnacentral:sRNA from 1 species
CUCUGGGGAGAGAAAGGUGAUUGCUUAAGAGGUGAAGCCCCUUAGAGCAUUCAAAAUGAGGAGUGAUUCUGUACAGAGGAUAUCUUGCAGCAGGCUGGAUGUCUAGUUCCAAUUCCUUUAUUUGUUACCUCUGAGACCUUGAAGAAGUAGUUUCUAGUCUCAGCAUACCAAAGCGUCAUCUGCAAUUAAGAGCAUUGGGAUUGAUGAUCUUCAAGGUCCUUCCUGCUCUAGCAUUCACUGAAUCUGCUAUUUUUGACAUAUUGAAUAAUCAGAAGCAGCCAGUUUUAGAAUCUUAUUAUAGCAAAAGUGGUAAAAAUAAUGAGCAUAUACUAUCAAUGUGCAUCUAUGUCUUCUUAUGUUUGAGUGAGGAUCCUGAUACAUAAACCUUGGCUGAUAAUUUCUACUGAAAAAAAAUGCCUGGACCAGUUUCGAGGCAACUACCUCCAUAGCCGGGAUUAUAAGAAUCCAGAAGCCUUCAAGGGGAAGAGGGUCCUCGUGAUUGGUCUGGGGAAUUCGGGAUCUGACAUUGCUGUUGAGCUCAGCCGUCUGGCUACACAGGUCAUUAUCAGUACCAGAAGUGCUUCCUGGGUCAUGAGUCGGGUCUGGGAUGAUGGCUAUCCUCGGGAUAUGAUGUAUGUUACCCGCUUUGCAUCCUUUCUCCGGAAUGUCCUUCCUUCAUUCAUCUCUGACUGGUUAUAUGUCCAGAAGAUGAACACGUGGUUUAAGCAUGAGAACUAUGGCCUGAUGCCUUUAAAUGGUUCCCUGAGAAAAGAGCCUGUGUUCAAUGAUGAGCUCCCAUCCCGCAUCCUGUGUGGCACUCUGUCUAUCAAGCCCAGUGUGAAGGAGUUCACGGAAACCUCAGCUGUGUUUGAGGAUGGGACCGUAUUUGAGGCUAUCGACUCUGUCAUCUUUGCAACAGGCUAUGAUUAUUCCUACCCCUUCCUUGAUGAGACCAUCAUGAAAAGCAGAAACAAUGAGGUUACCUUGUUGAAAGGCAUCUUCCCCCCACUAAUGGAGAAGCCAACCUUGGCUGUGAUUGGCUUGGUUCAGUCCCUUGGAGCUGCCAUCCCCACAGCAGACCUGCAAGCCCGGUGGGCUGCUAAAGUAUUUGCAAACUCGUGUACCCUGCCAACCACGAAUGAAAUGAUGGAUGACACUGAUGAGAAAAUGGGGAAAAAACUCAAGUGAUCCCCGCCUGGCCCUGGAGGUGUACUUUGGCCCUUGCAGCCCAUACCAGUUUCGACUGAUGGGACCAGGGAAGUGGGAUGGGGCCAGAAAUGCCAUCCUGACCCAGUGGAACCGGACAGUGAAGGCAACCAGGACAAGAGUUGUCAGUGAAGUUCAGCGACCCCAUCCCUUUUACAAUUUGCUUAAAAUGCUCUCAUUCCCAUUACUCCUUCUGGCUGUUACACUUACAUUUUAUUAAUGAGAAAGUCUUUGAGGUCUCAAAAUUCAGCACAGAAGUGUAAUCACACAAUACAACACACACACACACACACAUACACACACACAAUCACAACAUAGUUCCUCUCUCCUUUCCUGAAGAUAUGAAAAUCCGUCUUGGCCCAUUUGAAUUAAAGUAUAAGUAAAAUGGAAAA